rnacentral:rRNA from 1 species
GUCUGCAACCGAUCUCGUCUGAUCUCAGAAGCUAAGC